CUUUUGCGACAUACUUUUGCAGGUCUGAGGUUCGACAACUUCUGCAACUGUUCAAAGCUUGCUGAACGAUAUCAUUCACAAACGUUCUGCUUGGCUUCUUGCCUCAAAAUGACACGACUAGCGAAUUUACGGAGUUUUACGGACGCUUCACGAUCACACGACAAUUACCGUAAAUGGCCUUGGAUACACAGGAAUUGCAGGAACAGGGAUUACAGGAACAGGAAUUACAGGAACAGGAAUUACAGCAACAGGAAUUACAGCAACAGGAAUUA